rnacentral:tRNA from 1 species
GGCUCAGUGGCUAGAGCGUUCGACUGUUAAGUUGAAGUUGUUGAUGGAGUGGGUUCAAAUCCCACUUCUUGC